rnacentral:tRNA from 1 species
GAUUGUGGCUCAGUGGUAGAGCGCUCACCUAGCACGUGCGGGACCUGGGUUUGAUUCUCAGCAAGACA